UACGUAGGAGGCGAGCGUUGUCCGGAAUUACUGGGCGUAAAGAGCGCGUAGGCGGCGCGAUACGACCGAUGUGAAAGCCCCCGGCUCAACUGGGGAGGGUCAUUGGAAACUGGGGGACUUGAGUGCAGAAGAGGAAAGCGGAAUUCCACGUGUAGCGGUGAAAUGCGUAGAGAUGUGGAGGAACACCAGUGGCGAAGGCGGCUUUCUGGACCGCAACUGACGCUGAGGCGCGAAAGCUAGGGGAGCAAACAGG
rnacentral:rRNA from 1 species